AGCCUACGGGGCGCAGCAGUGGGGAAUAUUGCACAAUGGGGGAAACCCUGAUGCAGCGACGCCGCGUGAGUGAAGAAGUAUCUCGGUACGUAAAGCUCUAUCAGCAGGGAAGAAAAAAAGUCUUUGGCUUUGGACGAUACCUGACUAAGAAGCCCCGGCUAACUACGUGCCAGCAGCCGCGGUAAUACGGAGGAUGCGAGCGUUAUCCGGAUUUAUUGGGUUUAAAGGGUGCGUAGGCGGACGGUCAAGUCAGCGGUAAAAAUGCGGUGCUCAACGCCGUACAGCCGUUGAAACUGGCAGUCUUG
rnacentral:rRNA from 1 species